GCCGUAGGGCGCGAGCGUUGUCCGGAUUUAUUGGGCGUAAAGAGCUCGUAGGCGGCUUGUUGCGUCGACCGUGAAAACCCGGGGCUCAACUUCGGGCUUGCGGUCGAUACGGGCGGGCUAGAGUUCGGUAGGGGAGACUGGAAUUCCUGGUGUAGCGGUGAAAUGCGCAGAUAUCAGGAGGAACACCGGUGGCGAAGGCGGGUCUCUGGGCCGAUACUGACGCUGAGGAGCGAAAGCGUGGGGAGCGAACAGG
rnacentral:rRNA from 1 species